GGAGGAGCUGAGCUGUAACUGAACUCUAGAAGAGACACAAACGUCCACAUUCAGCACAGUUUAACACACAAACUACAAAUAUCAACUCUGCUCAGCAUGGACUAUUAUGGACUUUCUCUGCUCAUUGCCUCACUUCUAACAGGUGCCAGCUGUCAGCAUCUCACUAAACAUGUGGAUGAAGAGUUCACUUUAAAAGGCAGCUCUGUUACUCUGUCCUACAACUACUCCAGAAAAGCAGCUGCAGACGACUAUUUUUUCUGGUAUCGACAAAAUCCAGGGGAACCACCAGAGUUCCUGAUCUCUCAUUCAGGAACUGGAAUCCUAAUGUCGAAGCCGGUGUCUGGAAUGUCUUUUAAAGUGAGUGACGAAAAUCAAGUUAAUCUGCUGAUCUCCUCUGCUGCAGUGACAGACUCUGCUGUGUACUACUGUGCUGUGAGGCCCACAGUGACAGGAAACACCAGAACUCUGUACAAGAACCUGCAGUACUCCACAACAUCCACUAGAGGGCCUCACACACCGUUCCACCUCUCUGGUUUGUUAGGAUUCAUGUGA